UGCAGUCGAGGGGCAGCGCGGUAGCAAUACUGGCGGCGACCGGCAAACGGGUGCGGAACACGUACGCAACCUUCCUCUAAGCGGGAGAUAGCCCGGAGAAAUCCGGAUUAAUACCCCAUAGGAUUGUGGAUUGGCAUCAAUCAGCAAUUAAAGAUUUAUCACUUAGAGAUGGGCGUGCGUCUGAUUAGGUAGUUGGUGAGGUAACGGCUCACCAAGCCGACGAUCAGUAACUGGCGUGAGAGCGCGACCAGUCACACGGGCACUGAGACACGGGCCCGACUCCUACGGGAGGCAGCAGUAAGGAAUAUUGGUCAAUGGACGCAAGUCUGAACCAGCCAUGCCGCGUGGAGGAUGAAGGUCCUCUGGAUUGUAAACUUCUUUUAUCUGGGAAGAAAUGCUUUUUUUCUAAAGAGCUUGACGGUACCAGAUGAAUAAGCACCGGCUAACUCCGUGCCAGCAGCCGCGGUAAUACGGAGGGUGCAAGCGUUAUCCGGAUUCACUGGGUUUAAAGGGUGCGUAGGCGGAUUAGAAAGUCCGUUGUGAAAUCUCUGAGCUUAACUCGGAAAUUGCGGUGGAUACUAUUAGUCUUGAAUACUGUGGAGGUUAGCGGAAUAUGUCAUGUAGCGGUGAAAUGCAUAGAUAUGACAUAGAACACCAAUUGCGAAGGCAGCUGGCUACACAGAUAUUGACGCUGAGGCACGAAAGCGUGGGGAUCAAACAGGAUUAGAUACCCUGGUAGUCCACGCCCUAAACGAUGAUUACUCGACAUUUGCGAUACACAGCAAGUGUCUGAGCGAAAGCAUUAAGUAAUCCACCUGGGAAGUACGACCGCAAGGUUGAAACUCAAAGG
rnacentral:rRNA from 1 species